ACGGAGGGUGCAAGCGUUGUCCGGAAUCACUGGGUGUAAAGGGUGUGUAGGCGGGACUAUAAGUCAGAGGUGAAAUCCCACAGCUUAACUGUGGAACUGCCUUUGAUACUGUAGUUCUUGAAUAUCGGAGAGGUUGCUGGAAUUCGUGGUGUAGCGGUGAAAUGCGUAGAUAUCACGAGGAACACCAGAGGCGUAGGCGGGCAACUGGACGAUUAUUGACGCUGAGGCACGAAAGCGUGGGGAGCAAACAGG
rnacentral:rRNA from 1 species